UACAGAGGGGGCAAGCGUUGUUCGGAAUUACUGGGCGUAAAGGGCGCGUAGGCGGCCUGUUAAGUCGAACGUGAAAUCCCCGGGCUCAACCCGGGAACUGCGUCCGAGACUGAAAGGCUCGAAUCCGGGAGAGGGAUGUGGAAUUCCAGGUGUAGCGGUGAAAUGCGUAGAUAUCUGGAGGAACAUCGGUGGCGAAGGCGGCAUCCUGGACCGGUAUUGACGCUGAGGCGCGAAAGCCAGGGGAGCAAACGGG
rnacentral:rRNA from 1 species